rnacentral:Y_RNA from 1 species
GGUUGGUCCGAGUGCAGUGGUGUUUAUAACUAAUUGAUCACAACCAGUUACAGAUUCCUUUGUUCCUUCUCCACUCCCACUGCUUCACUUGACCAGCCUUUA